CGUAAAGAACCUAUCUUAUAGACAGGAACAACUAUUGGAAACGAUAGCUAAUACCUGAUAAGAAAGAAACUCGCAUGAGAGAAGUUCGAAAGUCGGAGCAAUCUGACACUAUAAGAUGGCUUUGCGGUGCAUUAGCUAGUUGGUAGGGUAAAAGCCUACCAAGGCGACGAUGCAUAGCCGACCUGAGAGGGUGAUCGGCCACAUUGGGACUGAGACACGGCCCAGACUCCUACGGGAGGCAGCAGCU
rnacentral:rRNA from 1 species